rnacentral:rRNA from 1 species
GAAACGACUGCUAAUACCGCAUAAGCGCACAGCUUCGCAUGAAGCAGUGUGAAAAACUCCGGUGGUACAGGAUGGACCCGCGUCUGAUUAGAUAGUUGGUGAGAUAACGGCCCACCAAGUCAACGAUCAGUAGCCGGCCUGAGAGGGCGAACGGCCACAUUGGGACUGAGACACGGCCCAAACUCCUACGGGAGGCAGCAGUGGGGAAUAUUGCACAAUGGGGGAAACCCUGAUGCAGCGACGCCGCGUGAGUGAAGAAGUAUUUCGGUAUGUAAAGCUCUAUCAGCAGGGAAGAAAACAAUGACGGUACCUGACUAAGAAGCCCCGGCUAACUACGUGCCAGCAGCCGCGGUAAUACGUAGGGGGCAAGCGUUAUCCGGAUUUACUGGGUGUAAAGGGAGCGUAGACGGUAGACCAAGUCUGAAGUGAAAGCCCGGGGCUCAACCCCGGAACUGCUUUGGAAACUGGUAAACUAGAGUGCAGGAGAGGUAAGUGGAAUUCCUAGUGUAGCGGUGAAAUGCGUAGAUAUUAGGAGGAACACCAGUGGCGAAGGCGGCUUACUGGACUGUAACUGACGUUGAGGCUCGAAAGCGUGGGGAGCAAACAGGAUUAGAUACCCUGGUAGUCCACGCCGUAAACGAUGAUUGCU